CCGCGUGACGGUACUGCCCAUACUUUGGGUUCCGGUUUCUGGCAGUCCUAUGAGCAGGAUGUCGCAGUAUUAACUCUAUAGCAGUGAAGGGAAGAGGUGAACGCUGAAGCAGAUACAGUGCUGUAGCAGCAAUGAUAAAAGCAGCCAAGUGGCAACAGACACAACAGCCGAGCAUCCUGAACAUCAAGCCAUAGAAGUGACUGCACGAGCUGAGAGAACCCAUCCUUGGUUCUACCUUGGUAUCAAAUCCCUGGCUCUUCUUACAUUCUCGCACAUGCUAUGGGUCAUGUAUACCAAGAAACACAAAACACUGGAAACAGGAGAACUACCAACAAACAGAAUGGAGAGCUCUGGUCGCUUCUCAAGCACAGAGACUGCUCAGAUACAGAGCAAGGGGAAGAAGUGCUGAUAUCAUCAAAGGACUGACACAGAAGUAAUCCUGUAUUGGUGGCCAGGACCUGGCCCCCCAGUUCCAGCAGACUCCAGCAGCUCAGGUGCAGGUCACAGCAGUCAGAAGAACAGAGACCCUCCUGCUGCAUCAGAGGCCAAGCAAGCAGCCAGAAGGCAAGAUUCCAGUGUGGUCAGAGGUCAAACAGGCUUCUAGAAAUCCAGGGAACAAAGGUGAGAAAACCAAAGACGAAACAGAGAUGUAGGGAAACAACACCCAUCCAACAAAGGCAACUCAAUAGUCAGCACCUAGACCUACAAUCAUCCUAAAUCCGGAUACCUAAACUCCAGUGUAAGGACAACAGGUCAACAACAGCCAGGGCAACAUGGCACCACCAGAACUAGGUCAGCAAGACCUGAAUAUUCCAAUGCAGCUGGAACACAAAAAAAGACCUUAAAACCAACUUUACGAUGAUGAUAAAGUUCCUCAAACAGGAAAUGCAAAAAAAUCCCUCAAAGAAAUUAAUGAAAAAAAUUGUAGGAAAUCAAUUCAUCCUUCAAAGAAUGCCAAGCCUCCCCGUUCCAAAUUAAACAAGCAGGCAAAGGAAACUGUUCAAGACCAGAAAAUGGAGAUAGAAGCAAUAAAGAAAACACAAACUGAUGAAAUUUUGAAAAUGGGAAAUCGAGGUAAGAUAACAGGAAUUACUCAUUAACAGAGUACAAGAAUUGGAAGGGAGAAUCUCAGGAGUUGAGUUGAAGAUAUGAUAGAAGAAAUAGAUUCAUCAGUCAAAGAAAAUGUUAAAUCUAAAAAACACCUAACACAAAACAUCCAGGAACUCCGUGAUACUAUGAAAAGACCAAACGUCAGAAUAAUAGGAAUGGAAGAAGGAUUCCAGCUCAGGAACCCAAAAAAAUAUUUAAACAAAUUCGUAGAAGAAAACUGUCCUCACCUAAAGAAGGUGUCUUAGUUAGGGUCUUAUUGCUGUGAACAGACCAAUGUAAAUUUUAUAAAGGACAUUUAAUUGGGGCUGGCUUACAGAUUCAGAGGUUCAGUCCAUUAUCAUCAAGGUGGGAGCAUGGCAACAUAGCAGCAUCCAGGCAAGCAUGGUACAGGAGGAGGUGAGUUCUACAUCUUCACCGGAAGGAAGCCAGGAGCAGGCUGAGUGUUCCUAGGCAGCUAGGAGGAGGGUCUUCAAGCUCACCCCUACAGUGAUACACUUCCUCCAACAAAGCCACACCUUCUAAUAAUGCCACUCCCUGGGCCAAGCAUAUGCAAACCAUCACAGGAGGACAUGCCUAUAAAGGUACAAGAAGCUUACAGAAUGCCAAAUAGAUUGGAUCCGAAAAGAAAAUCCCCAUGCCACAUAAUAAUCAAAACACCAAACAUAGAGAACAACAACAACAAGAAAAGACUAUUAAAAGCUGCAAAGGAAAAAGGCCAAGUAACAUAUAAAGACAGACCUAUCAGACCUACACCUGACUUCCCAGUGAAGUCUUUAAAAGCCAGAAGGGCCUGGGCAGAUGUCUUGCAGACUCUAAGACAACACAGAUGCCAGCUCAGACUACUAUACCCAACAAAACUCUCAAUCACCAUAGAUGGAGGAAGCAAAAUAUUUCAUGACAAAGUCAAAUUUAAACAAUAUCUAUCCACAAAUCCAGUCCUACAAAAAAUACUAUAAAGAAAAAUCAACCUAAGAAGCUUAACUACACCCUCGAAAACAAAAUAAUCCCACAGCAGCAAAACCCAAAGAAGGGAAACACACACACACACCACCACCACCACCACCACCACCACCACCACCACCACCACCACCAACAACAACCACAACAACUCAUUGGUCAUUAAUAUCUCUCAUAUCAGUGAACUCAGUUUCCCAAUGCUAAAUGCUAACAGAAUGGAUAGGAAAAAAAAAAACAGGACCCAACCUUCUGCUGCAUACAAGAAACACACCCCAACACCAAAGAUAGUCAUUACUUCAGAAUAAAGUGUUGGAAAACACUUUUCCGAGAAAAUAGACUUAAGCAACAAGCUGGUGUAGUCAUUCUACUCUCUAACAGAAUAGGCCAAACCAAAAUUAAUCAAAAGAGAUGGAGAAGGACAUUUUAUUGUCAUGGAAAUGGAAAAAUCCACCAAGACAGUGUGUCAAUUCUUAACAUCUAUGUCCCAAAUGAAAGGGCACCCAUGUUUGAACCUCACACAAUAAUAGAGACUACAACAUCCCACUCUCACCAAUGGACAGGCAAUCCAGACAAAAACAAAACAGAGAAAUAAUGGAGCUAACAGACGUUAUGAACCAAAUGGACCUAACAGAUAACCACAGAACAUUUCACCCAAACACAAAAGAAUACCUUCUUCACUCAGCACCUUAUGGGAGAGAUUCAAAGCAAGUCUCAACAGACACAGGAAAAUUGAGAUAAUACCUUGUAUCUGAUCUGACCACCAUGGAUUAAAGCUGGACUUCCACAACAGAAACAUCAGAGAGCCUACACACUCAUGGAAACUGAACAGCUCUCUAGGGUCAAAGAAACACAAAAAAAGCAGUGUUAAGAGGAAAAUUCACAGCAUCAAGUGCCUUCAUAAAGAAAUUGGUGAGAUCUCGUACUAGCAAGUUAACAGCACACCUGAAAGCUCUAGAACAAAUAGAAGUAAACACACCCAAGAGUAGAAGAUAGCAGGAAAUAAUCAAACUGAGGGCUGAGGAACUUUCAGAGAUCGGGGAGCCUACAGGGGUCGGACCUAGGUCCUGGGAAUAUGUGUUAUUGUUAAGUAGCUUGGUGUUCUUGUGGGAAUCCUAACGGUGAGAGCAAGGUCUGUUUCUGACUCUUUGCCUACUUGUAUGACCCUUUUCCUCCUACUGGUUUGCCUAACCCAGCCUUAACGUGACGGUGUGAGCCUGGUAUUGCUGUAGCUUGUUAUGCUGUGUUUGGUUGAUAUACCUGGGAGACCUGCUCUUCUCUGAGGGGAGGAAGUGGGGAGCGGGGCUGUGGACCUGGAGGAAAGAGGAGGUGAUCAGGGAUGGGGGAUGGGAGAUAGGGGAAAGGCUAGGGAGAGCAAAGCUGUAGUGGGGAUAUAAUAUAUGAUGAAAAAAUUAUUAUAAAAAUAAUCAUGUAUUUUAAUUCAAAACAGCCUCUAAGUUAAAGACAACCAAGAUUUCUCCCAAUAAAAAUGGAUAUGGGAUAUUACAUAGAAUUGGAAUACAUAGAAAUAAGAAAAACCAAUAUACACAGAAUAUAAAUUAGUUUCAUAGGCGAUAUAUUGAACAAAUAGCUGGAUAGAGAAAUUAAAGAAUAGGAUACACCUUUAGUAAGACUGAGGGUGUCCCUGGAAGGAUUUACCUUUGUCUAAACCUAGUUUAGAAGAGGAAACAGGAACUACCGUGGUGUUAACUAGAUUAACCAAGAUACUAUCUUUCCACUGAACUAGUGCCUCUUUGCUAGAACAUAGUUUAGUAAAUGCAGACAAAGUAUCGAAAGUGAAUGGUCUCUUGCUGGAUUCAGUUAAAAGGAGAUUAGGGUCAUAGGCAUGAGCCACAACACUGAGAUACGUUGGAUUUUUUUAAUUCUUGAAAAUAUUUUUUUUUUGGUUCUUUUUUUUUUUUUUGAAAAUAUUUUUAUUGACAUAUAAAGUUGGAUCUUUAAUUUUGAAUUUUACAGCCUAAAUUACUCUCACCACUAGGGGGCAGCAACUUAGGACGGAAAACAAAACAAAACCAGUCCAGAAAGGAAAGCCUUGUUUUAAAUUUCUAUCUCCCCAUACAUCUGUAAUGCUCUAACCUCGGUACUCAGCGAUGCCUCAUAUGUAAAAUAGAACAUAAAUAAUUUAAUGGGAAGUUUCAUUUUUCAGCCAUGGCGGUGACUGUUCCAGAAAGCGCACUUGAUACACUUGUGUAUCCCCCAACUGUGAUCCCAUCACCUUAAUGCCAAUACUACCACUCUACGGAGGACAGAUGUCCUCUCUCCUGUAAAUCUUGUCUUGGUAGCUUCUUUAAGUUUUUAUUGUUCAAUUUAUUCAUUUGUUCUAUUUUGCUCCUUCUACUUUCAUGGCUGUUCAGUCUUGGGGGCAGUUUUGAUGACACCCUCCCGUAUUUCAAGUUUCCUUGUCC